GAAAAGGAGGCUCAGGGCUGGGGCUGAAGAUGGCCACUGAGAGGAGCACAGCCCUAGGCUCUGGGAGGGAUUUGCGCUUGGAACCACUUGGAGGACCCCCCAGAAGCCACUAGCUCUAGGAUCAGCCACAAGGACCGGGACAGAGGUGAUGGCAUCCCGUCCAUCUUGGCAGUUGGUGGCUUUCUCACCUGCCUCCUGACACACUUCUCCUGGUAGCCAAGGCCUGGAUCCUCUGCCUUCUGGUCUGGCAAUGAGGUGAUUGCCUGCUGGAGACCCGGUAGCUGCAUGGGGAGGCUCCCUUCCCUGAUGUGCAGGGCACAGAGGGCACCAAGGCUCAGAGAAGGGUAAGUCAGGAGCCAGAGGAAACAAGCCAGGGCCAGAGUUCAGUGAUCUGCAAACCUGUCUGCCAUGUGGAACAGCCUCGUACUGGUGUGGAUCCCAAGAGAGCUGAACAGCCCCAGAAGAGCAGGGUGUAAGACAGUCCCUGCCUG
rnacentral:lncRNA from 1 species